AAACCAGAGACACAACAGCCAAGGGGUGCUCAGACCUUUCCCUUUUCAAGACUUUUUUAUUGGAGUGGAACACAUCCGCCAGGAAGCACACUGCUGAUCGCCUUCCCCUGGUGCGGGCCCUGGGCUCCUUCCUGACACUGCCCACACGUUACCCAGCGCCAUUUUCCUCUGCGCAUCCAACUCCGCACUGGGUCAAGCUCCGUGAAGGCAGGCCCUGUGUGUUAGGAUGUGAGCCAGACCUUGCUGUUUGCCGGUUCUGCCUCUGUUUCCUCCUCUGAGACGGCCUCUGGGUUUUGUUGGGUGGAACUGUGAUCAAAGGGCCUUGUCCUUCCUUGGUCCUUGAUGACAAAAAGAUGGAAAUGUCUGGAACCAGGUUUUGAAGAGCCUGUCCUCUCGCUCCUUGGGUUUUCUCCUCAGAGAAGCUGGCUCUUCAGCUCUUCUGUCAACACUGUGAGGUACCCAGUCGGAGGGCCCUUCCACCUCUUACAGUCAAAGAACCCAACCAAAGAUGGUGCUUUCUUCGACUUCAUGCCCCCAGAUACGAUGCCGUUUUUUUGGUAGGAGAAGCCGGGUCAUGGUUCCCGUGGAUAUUUUCCAUGGUUCGGAUUUGGCCGGUUGCACCUGCAUGGUAACAUUUGGCAGGUCCCCCGUCCCAGGUUGCCAGAUGUCUGUGCCGCCCUGGGCCUCCUGGUGUGGGCCUGCCUUGUUUCAGAGUAGCUUCAAUGACAAAAGUUGUGGCCCCAUGUUGAAACAAGGAGGACUAACUCCCGGGAACCCUUCACCAGGGACAGAUACAUUCCCCAGCUUCCCCACCUUCUGUGGGCCCUGUUCUAGAUGGUUCUUCAGAGGGUCCCCAGCCGGACCGAGCCCAGUCACCCAGGGGUAACCAUCCCUGAUUGGUCUUGUUAUUAAUGUAUUAAUAAAGGGUGACCAACUGCUUUGUUUCCUGUUCCCUCAGGUUUCACUUUCCUCAUUCCCUCACUUCUUCCAGGGACCAUCUCCCAAGUGAAACCCUCUGCCCCAAACCCUCGUCUCAAGCCCUUCCUCUGGUGACUCUAGAGGGUUGGCCAGAUUUAGGUUCCUUUUCUUUUUCUCUUUUUGGUAGUUUGGCGUCUCAGGUGCUGCAGUGUGCUUUCUGUUGUCCCUUACUGCCCCCGGCAGCGUGUCCGAUGGGGUCCUGCUAGUAUUUGUGCCUUAGAAUAUCAGGGAUCCAGCGGGAAGCUUCAAGAGCCUUCCUCUAAUCUUACCUUGCAACCAUUCUGGACGGACUCCCCCUGCAUUUAUAGCUAAGCUCUUCCACUGCUGAUAGAUGUUUUCUGCUUUUAGGUAGCACGCUUUCCGUUCAACAGGAGGUGACGUGUCCGGCCCCCCUCAUGUGUCUCUCAAAGCAGCAGCAUUUGGUUCCCCUCCCCUCCACAGAGCCUUCGUGCAUGAGUCAUUUCUGCUGGGGGUCUGUGUGUUUUCAAGUCCUCGUGGACGGAACACUUGGUAUCACAAAAAUAGAAGCUCAUCCAAGGUGUGUUUUGCUCAGCUGGCUGGCUGUUAACCAGUUCAUGGGAGGCUUAGCACCUUGUAAUGGAAAAGCAGAGGGGGGACUACGGUGGCUGGGCGAGGGCAUGAGUGUGGGCAUGUGAGUGCGUGUAUGCACGCGUGCGUGUGCAUGUGCACACAAGACCUCUUUCCCCUUGGGUGGUACAGAUCACUCCCUACUUAGAAUCGUUUUUCCUUCUGAAAAGCCUUCCCCCUUCUUAUUCCACUCAUUAGCCCCAAGUAUCCACCCCCUCCCUGUGCAAAAUGCCUGAAAUGGAACACGGUAAGGUAGAAGGUAGCUCCGUAGUGAAGAUAGCAUGGGAUUUUGAGUUAGACGAUCUGAUGGUUCACUGUGUGACCCUGGGCAGUCGCUGAACCACUACGGGCUUGAUUUUUCUUCCCUUUAAGUUGGGUAUAAUAAAACUAUGUGUUAGAACACUUUAACUUAAUAAAUGAAAUGAGAGUGCAUUAUGAAAAAAAGAAUACUGUCAAUAGUAAAAGCUUGUAUGAACAAACGGGGAUAUUUUCCUGUCUCAGUGGGGAUAGAUUUUCAAUAUUUCCUCGGACAGGUUUUGAUAGGAAUAAAGGAAGGAGAUCAAACCAGACAGGGUGCUUAGUUGCGAACAACAGGAGCAGACUCAGCCUAAGCGAAGGAGACAAGACACUUUUCAACAGUCUAUCGAGAGGUUUUCAGACCUGACAGGAACUUAAGAAAUGCAGCAAGGAUUCUGAGAUACAUACUUACAGGCAAAACAAGAACUCCUUGAGGAAUGAUGUUACAGUACCCAAAACCUGACCAGCAUCCCCGUGUGCUACACCAAGAAGGAUCCAGUUGCAAAGUGGAGGGAACAAAUGCAAGUCAGAGGUGCUGGUAAUGUGGACACCUGCCUCUCUCUCUCUCUGCCUUCAGAAAAGUUGAUUCCCAAGACUCUAGCAAGUGGCCCCUUGCUAAACCCUGUGCAAUGUUUCUUUGCUGCUAGGACUCCUUCACCCUUCUCCUGCCAGAUUUUACAAUGCGAGUCUCCUCAUCCAGUGCCCCAUCCCUGAUCAUAUUUGUGUGAAUUGUCCUCAGUCUGGGAGGAGAACGCUGCGCUCUUGGCUGGAAACAGGCUUAUUUCUAAUUUGUCCACUUCCGUUUCUCUUGAGACCAUGAUCCAGCACUCAUCCUGCCUCUGAACCCACCAGCCAACAGACCUGACUUCUACAGGAGAAAAAUAGAUGCUGUCUUCUUGACAUAAGAACUUCAAAAUAACACAGGCUGUGAAGUGCUGAGCUGCCCCCAGCUUAUGGCCUUGUUUCUUUGACAGACGAGGCAUUGCAAUACGUACAGUUGGCCCUCCAGGCGGUAAUCUGAUUAUUGCCAAGUGCUAGUCGCUGUUGGGAAUUUGCCACAUGGAAGCCCACUUCACAUAGGCUGGACAGGCAGAGGCUUCAAUUAACAGUGGCUUUUGUAGAAACAACUACACGCACAGGAUCACUAAAGUCAAGGUCACGGGGUUUGCUAGAUCCAGUCAGAGGGCAUUUCCAAGAGGUGGCCCUCCGUCAUCUACUGGCUGUAUGUAAGCUCUCUGUCUCUGUCUCGAAGUUCUAGUCAGCCCCAUAGCGGCUACCUCUCCUGUUUCAUCCAUGACUUGAGAGGUGGAAAAUGUAACUCAGUAUCACUCACUAAGACGUGCAGAGAAAAGUUUGGUCUACCUGGACUCCUCCUGCUUGCCGAAGUCUGAAGCUAAUGGAACUUGCUACCUGGCUUCUGCCUACUUGGCACGGGUUCGGCCGGGCACCCUGACUGCAGAUCCCUGACUGUUUGCCCUGUUUGGCACCCUGCCAUGCCUGGCUUCCCUCCUCAAGUUCUGCCACGGUUCUUGUCCUCCUGUCCCGACAACCUCCUUAGCUCUCCUGCUGGACACUUAACCCAGCCUGCUUCAUUGAGUUGGCACAAUGGAGUCUGUACCGUGAAGGUGGUUAUUUGUGACAGGGAAGCAUGUCAGAGUCCCAGAGUCAAGCUGGUUAAAGCAGCGAUUGAAAGACAGAAUCAUCUCCUAGGCAGAACCUCUCUCAGGAAAGGAACAGGACGAGCAUGAUUUCAUGACUUGACUGUAAUCCAUUCAGUGGAAUUAAUGGAUGAAAUAAAAAAAAAAAUGUUUCAGAGGAAGUGAACACGGACUAUAGAAAAGCAGGGGUGAGAGAGGCCAUCACAGGCAGUGUGUCUUUGGCCCUGACCAGGUGACAUGAGCUCAGCGUCCUCACGACAGCCUGCCUUGCAGCGGAAAUGAAGGCAUCCAGGAAAUAGUUGCUGAACAGACCUUAGAAGCUGCCUCCCCGGGAAAAGGAACUUGCUGAAGUCCCGAAACAGCAGUAGCAAUGGACAAUUUGGUCUGGAGGGACUAAUGGGUCACUACGGGGAGGAUACCGUAGGUGAUCCGGGCCUGAGAUGGCCAUAUUGCAAAGCCCUAGAGAGGAGGGACUAGAACGGGGACCGUGCUGAACCCUGACCGUUCCCACUAACGGACCGCGCAACAAGGGAACACAAGAAGAAGCCAUGGAUGAGGGAGGUCUUCCAUUCAGCUCUAGAACUUGUCUUCCUGCGUAAAGAAAGGCAGUCUACAAAACAUCCCCCAGGCCCUGCUGCUGUGACCGACAUGUAGAGAGGAAGGUUUUCAGAAUUGUUCCCCCUGGAAGGAAGUGCCCGGAGAGAACAGCCAUCCCCACGUCAGCUUCAGAUCCACACACAGAUCCUGCAGGACAAAUGGAAACAUCCAGGCAGGAGGACGGCGGAUAAAGCCCCGGCCACUGAGAUGGGACUUGGCAGACAGAAAGAAGGAGACCUCUCUGUAGAGUUCAUGGACACCAACAGAUCCUGUUUCGUCAUGGUUUUUUGGGGCUGGAAUGGAUCAAACACCAAGACGGUGAUGAGAAAAACUGACCUGGGCUGGAACUGGGAGACGGCACCCAAUGCCCCCCACUGGGGGUUUAAGCAACACCCACCGGGGUGAUCCUGGCUGGUCAUGCCAGACUCCCUCUGCGGUCAUACUUUUAUUCUGCUUGUGUGUUUAUAUGUACGUUUAUAUCUGGAGCCACCUCUAAAUUAAAUUGAAUUUUUUCACAUUAAGACACUCAUAAUUUUUAAAAUCUUUUAUAAAGUAUUUGUAUUUGAUGUACAAUGAAUCAGCAUGAAGGCAGGGACGCUGGAUGACCCCAUUCAAGAAAAUUCGUUUAAUCCAACCUAACGCAGCCUGUGUCCGCUGCGUCCUGAUGGAAAUACCAGUGGCACCUUUUGUGGCCUCGUUACUGGCUCAGACUGAGCUGGUUAGAGCAGACUCGGCAAGAACAAGAACCCUGGCCAGAUUUCCCUGGAUGGCGCCCCAGUAGAGCCUCCGGGGACCCAUCUUGCCGUCUCAGACACAACGAGGCAAAAGGCGUGACCUUGCCGUUCUCUGUGGAUGUUCCUGUGUCUGAGUAAUCAGAAACACACAUGCGUAAAGAGACGCACCUGACCCGUCCACUCUAGAGCGUGGGGACGAUUUUCUGCAGCUACCCUCUUCGCUCUCAAGGUACAAAGUACGAGACCCUCUGUAGGAAUUGAUUGGGAAAAUACAUGUUGUGGCCGCUGCGUCCCUCUCUGGAGGGGAGCCUGGGAAGGGCAAAGUCUGUUGGGAUGGCCUCUGUCUUGUCCUUGCUCAUGCCUGGCCUGCGUUUGCUUUCCUUGGGCUGGGGCCAGACCCUAUUGGAGGAUUUGGUUUGCUGACUGGCAGGUCCUUCUCGGGGGCUGUCUGGAGACCCCGAGGCUUGGGUAGAGGAGCUGAGGCAGUGCCUGGCGGGACUGCGUCCAGGUUCUGGUGACUUGAGCCUGAGGACGAGACAGCCACCUGGAGACGGCUCUCGGCUUACAAUGUGUAGAUUUGAAACCACAGUCAGCAAGUUUACACUCUGCUGCCUUCGACUCUCUCAGCUUUGUUUCCUUGAAUGAAGAGUAGAUAUUUACUCUACUUACAAAGUAAACCGUUUUAGGCAGCGGACGACUGACAGAACAUUCCCGACUCUUGGGAUGGCCCGGAAGACUCUUCAGUUGCAUGAUCUUAUUUUCCAGAAGGAACCAUGAGCCCCUCCUCAUGCCUCGGAGCCUCCUCUGCCCAAGUUUUCUGGACUUCUGGCGUUUGCUGCACUUGCUGUGGGCAACGCCCCCUCCCACAGGCAGCUCCCCCGCCCCAGCCUCAGCCUGGCUCCUACUUCAGCUUCCUGGCCCUGACCUGGGAUUUCUGGCUCUUCCUGACAAUGUGUCUCAAAGCCCUCUGGUCAGCACAGAGAUGUACAAGCUCUUUCAUUUUCUCACCAUGACAUAUUAAAGGCAUUUGAAGUCUCAACUUAGAAUUACUCCCUCGAUACCUCUUAAUCCUUCUCGAUACCCUCUGGGCAGCCAUAGCCAGCGGGGCAAAGCCAUUAGUGACUCUCUGACUAUGACACAAAGUGGCUGAUGGGUUUCUCACAGGCCCUGUCAUUUUUUAUUUUUUUUUAAAGGACU